CCAGACUCCUAGGGAGGCAGCAGUGGGGAAUAUUGGACAAUGGACCAAGAGUCUGAUCCAGCAAUUCUGUGUGCACGAUGAAGUUUUUCGGAAUGUAAAGUGCUUUCAGUUGGGAAGAAAAAAAUGACGGUACCAACAGAAGAAGUGACGGCUAAAUACGUGCCAGCAGCCGCGGUAAUACGUAUGUCACAAGCGUUAUCCGGAUUUAUUGGGCGUAAAGCGCGUCUAGGUGGUUAUAUAAGUCUGAUGUGAAAAUGCAGGGCUCAACUCUGUAUUGCGUUGGAAACUGUGUAACUAGAGUACUGGAGAGGUAAGCGGAACUACAAGUGUAGAGGUGAAAUUCGUAGAUAUUUGUAGGAAUGCCGAUGGGGAAGCCAGCUUACUGGACAGAUACUGACGCUGAAGCGCGAAAGCGUGGGUAGCAAACAGGAUUAGAUACCCUGGUAGUCCACGCCGUAAACGAUGAUUACUAGGUGUUGGGGGUCGAACCUCAGCGCCCAAGCAAACGCGAUAAGUAAUCCGCCUGGGGAGUACGUACGCAAGUAUGAAACUCAAAGGAAUUGACGGGGGCCCGCACAAG
rnacentral:rRNA from 1 species